GAGCGCCUGAUGCCCGAAGGUCAAGGCCUUCGCGCCCGUGCGCAUCAUUUGGUCGGGGUAGCGGCCCCUCCCGAUGCAUACGGGGUCGCUCCAGGCGCCGAUGGGAUACGGCGGGUGCUCCCCCGCGCGUCCCGGCGCAGCUCGGCCGGCGUCGAUGAGGGGACUCAAUCGCCGGCCCGGCCUGUACACCCCCGACAGGACU
rnacentral:sRNA from 20 species